ACUCCUACGGGAGGCAGCAGUGAGGAAUAUUGGUCAAUGGGCGCAAGCCUGAACCAGCCAUGCCGCGUGCAGGAAGACUGCCUUAUGGGUUGUAAACUGCUUUUAUAUGGGAAGAAAACCCCUCUACGUGUAGAGCUUGUACGGUACCAUAAGAAUAAGCACCGGCUAACUCCGUGCCAGCAGCCGCGGUAAUACGGAGGGUGCAAGCGUUAUCCGGAAUCAUUGGGUUUAAAGGGUCCGCAGGCGGUCAAUUAAGUCAGAGGUGAAAUCCUAUAGCUUAACUAUAGAACUGCCUUUGAUACUGGUUGACUUGAGUUAUACGGAAGUAGGUAGAAUGUGUAGUGUAGCGGUGAAAUGCAUAGAUAUUACACAGAAUACCGAUUGCGAAGGCAGCCUACUACGUAUAUACUGACGCUCAUGGACGAAAGCGUGGGAGCGAACAGGAUUAGAUACCCUGGUAGGCACUGCU
rnacentral:rRNA from 1 species